UUCACUCGGUCUCCGAAGCCAGAAACCACCGGCAGCGAACGUACGGGGGAGAAAUUCGUCUUGGCCUUGGGUCCCCGGAGACUCCUGGCAGCGUCGUCGUAGGCUCUAGCGGCUUCCUCGGCGGUGUCGAAGGUGCCUAGCCACUUCCUCGUCUUCUUCCAUGGAUCUCUAAUCUCCGCUGCAAAUCGGCCCCAGGGACGCUUGCGUACACCUCUAAAAUGCGCCUCCUUUGCGGGCGAAGGAGACGGCAGCUGGUCGUCCUCGUCGGCGGCUGUGAAGCCCUCCUUGGCGAGGUGUAGAGUUUCGACUGCCAUCUACUGAAGUCUAUAAAGAGAGAGGAGAAAAAGCAGGGUGAUAAGAGGCGAGUGGAGCGCGUGAAUUUAUAGUGGUCGUGAAUAAACGGGACAAGAGGAAUUCCUUAGGUGAUUGCAUGUAUAAUGUAGAGUCUUGGGAUGUCCAUGAUGUGUAGCAUGACAUGGGGAUAUUGAGUUCACAUAAUACAACGGAUUUUUAAUAAGAGUAUGACCGUUUUUAAAAAUUAAUUCCUAAAUUAUCAUAAUAGUAAAAAUAAUUUCAAAUCUAUCAUAGUUUUAUCUAUAUAGGAAAGAGUAAAUAAAUUAUAAGUGAACUUAUAUAAAAAUAUCGUCUUUUCAAAACAUGAUUUCUAAAAUUCCAUUUUUUAUAUGAGAAAUCGUUUCUUAAAAAGACGAUUUUCAAAGAAUUUAUUUAUUUAUACAACAUGGGAUAUUGAGUUCACAUAAUACAACAUGGGUUUAACUUUCUCAAGCUCACUUGUGCCUUAAUUUAUUUAUCUAUUUAAAAAAAUUAAAAAAAAAAAACGAUUUCCUUCUAGGUUUGGGUCUCUUAAUUAACUAUUGUAGUUGUAAUAAUUUUGGAUUUUAACCCAUACAAAUUUUUGUGUAUGAUGAUGAUAUAAUUUGCUAUCUAAAAUCGACAUACUUCUAAGCAAUAUUUUCAAAAUGGUAUCUAAUGUGUUUUUGGACACAUUUCUAUUUUUACCAUAAUUAUUUAAUUUUUUUAAAUAAAAAUAGGUAUAAUAAUUAUGUAAUAAGAAUAAUGAUUUAUUUCAUAAUUUUUUUAUAAUUUUAAAUUAAUUAAUGAGGUUUUUGUCCUAGUUUGAAGAAGAUAGAAUGUUUAAUUUUCAUUUGGAAGGUCUAAAAAAAUUAGAAAAACAAGAAAGAAUAUUUAAUAAUUUUUAGUUUUUAUAAUAAAAUAAUCUUUAAAUAUAUAUAGACACACACACACACGAUGUUAAUACAUGUGAUGUGUUGGAUGUCAAUGAGGCAUAAAAAACACAUCUUUAAUACUAUUACUUUUGUUAUAAAAUAAUGUACGAGAAAAAUAUGUUGGGUCUAGUAAAGGUUGGGGAGUAUAUUAUAUACCCCUCAAAUUUUCCAAAAAAAAAAAAAAGUCUUAUGUAUUAUUCUCCAUAAAUUUCAAAGAUAAAAAUGAAAAAAGAAAAUUCUUAUAUAUAGUAAGAGAUUUUAAAAAAUCAAAAUGAACCCCUAUAAAUAUAUAUUUAAUUUUAAAAUUUUAAAAAUAUAAAAAAUAAUUACAUUUCAAAUACGAUAAAAAUUAAAUAGAAAUAAAGUUAUAAUUUUUAAAUAAAAAUAAAUAAAUAAAUUUACUUGGUAGAGUUAAGUCCACUCACCUUUCUUAAAAUUUGUAUUGAAUAUACCUAACUAUAAUUAGUUUAAAAUUUCAUCAAAUACUCUCAUUUAUCCUCUUUAUUUGUUAAUUUCAUUUGUUUUCAUUUUCACUCAAAAUAAAGAAGUUAUUUACUGAAAUUUCAAGUUAAUAAUAAUUACAUAUAUUUAAUUGAAAUCGUGGAGAACUUAAUAUAUUUAAUCCAAAUGAGUGAAAAUUAACCUUUACUUUAUUAAGUCAAAUAAAAUUAAAAAGAAAAUAGAAUAUUUUAUAAAAUCUAAUUUUUUUUUUCAUGGUAUAUUCUCUUCCAUCAUUUGAAAAUUUUAAAUUUAUACACAUCAAUUGGAUUUAUACUUAGCCUUAGUUAUUGAAGAUAAUGUAACUAAUAAAAUGCUUUGAACUUUAAACAAUAAUAAAUACUAAAUUCUUAAUAGCUACUUAUACUUUAUUUUAAAUUGAUAUAUGAAUUCAUUAAAAGUUUAAAUAUCAAAGACACUUAAUAUGUUAGACAUAUCAUUAUAUAAUAGAUAAUUUCUAAGAUAUUAGUCCUUGUGGGGAGGGAGUUCUUAUCACUAUCAUUAAAGGAAGGUUCGUUAGUUCUUAUUUAUUUAUAAUAUAGCCCUACGUUAGUCCAUGUCGUCCCUACAUAAAGGACAAUGUCACGUCAAGGUUUAUCGAACAACUUGCUUCCAGAGCUAUUACAUAAUGUUAUAGGUGUUCUUUCUCUUUCUUGUUUGUUGGGACAUAAAAGGCCAAAUGGUAAUGGAGACUCCCCUAACAAAAGAAGAUUAAUGUUGUUCACAACAUCACUUUCAAUUGAUUUUAUAUUUAUUUGAAAAAAAAUUCUGCAAUUUUAUUGAAAAAUUAUAAACUUUGUUGAAAAUGUUUUUAAAAGAUUGUUUUAAUGAAAAUUUUCUAAUCAUUUUAAAAUUCUUUUGAUAUUUUUUUGUUUAUAAAAUCUAUUUUUUUUACCAAUAUUUUUGAAAAGUUGCUAAUUUAAUUGAGAUUGUUCUUAUCUAUCUAUUUAUCUAUCUAUCUAUCUAUCUAGCUAUAUAUAUAUAUAUAGACACACACACACAGCAUAGGUUUACUUUUGGCACUAUGAUUACAUUGUAAACAUUUCCAUCUACUUUAAGUUUACAAUGAAAAUAAUGGAAUAUCCCUCAUUUGAAUCCAAUAAAAAUUAUUUUAGAACAUAAUUCCUAAUAAAUUAAAAUCUGAAUUUUAGUUAUAAACUGAUGCCUUUUACUGAAUUUCCUCAAAAUAAUAAUAAUAAUAAUAAUAAUAAUAAUGUGCCCACAUAAAAUUAUCAACAAUAAAAAUAUAAUAUAUAUAUAUAUAUAUAUAUAUAUAUAUAUAUAUAUAUAUUUUAAGUAUGAAUAAAAUGAAAACAACAAAAUCCACCACUUAUUAUCUUAAAUUUUGAAACUUUUAAAAAUAACAUAUUUUCCAUACUUGGUGAAAUUUUUGCACAGCUAAAACAACAUACAUGCAUAUCUAAAAACUCUUAAUCCAUUGGACCAAGUUAUGCAAACUCCUAAAUGAAAUAAAAUUUUAAAUUUGAAAAUCUAUUAAAUAAAGUGUUUUUCUAUUGUUGUUCUUUUGAAAUAUAUAUUUAAUAAUAAUUUAAAAUAUAUAUAUAAUUGUUGUUUGUAAGUUAGAACUAAAAUUCCUAAACAUGAAAACAAAUGGUUAGCAUGCUAUAUGAUAAACAUUAUAAUUUAUUUAUAAAUUCACAUUUCAAACUCUAGAAUCAUUAUAAUUAAACCAUAGUUUUAGAAUUGGGAUGUGAUAAACUAUCUUAAACUAGGUCCUUGAGUCAAACUUCAACUGUAAUACAUGGUAUUGAUAUGGAACUUAGUUUUGGGUGAGUUAACGCUAUUAAAGACCAUGCAUUGGCUUAUUGAUUCUCGAAAGAGUUUCUAGAGAAUCACAUAAUUAUGACCUCAUAACAACUUUUACUUAAGGGAAAGGCACUUGUGACCUACCAUUCCUAACAUCAAAUUGGUGCUACUUAUAACUCAUACAAUGCAGUUUGUUUCCACCUAUUGAACCUUCUUUAUAGGAUUUCCAAUUGUAAAGGUUAGGUUACCUUUGAAGAUGACUCCCUCGUGAACUUAACUCAUUCCCUUCAAUGACUAUGGAUCUAGCUCCGCUUGUUAGCUCAGAGGUAACCAUUCAUUAAUAGACUGGUUUAUUUCCUCAUUUUGCAUCAUUAUGUCAAUUUGUCAUACAUAACCAUAUCUUCCACCUUCUUCAAAUCAUUAUUAUACUAUAAUUUUCCACACAUUCAAGAACAACAUUAGUAGGAAUAUACAUAUAUUGGCAUUAUGAAUAUGCAUAUAUUUAACUCUCACAUUUAAGAUAUUUGUUACAAAUUAAUAUUUUUCUCUAAAAUUAAAAGUUAAUAUAUAGAUUUUGUAAAAUAUUAUGGCCAGCUCAAUGUGCCCAUUUAUUGAACUCACUUGUAAUUGAAGGGAGGCCCCAUGUACUAUGUGAUGGAUGACUAUAACUAAAAUAUCAUCAUCUAAGAACAUGGAUCCAAUGGUAGUCUAAUAAAACAAAAUUGAUAGCGCCUCACCCCGACAUCAUGAUAUAUAUGCAAACAAUUUUACUUAUUAUUUUUCCUAUAAAAAAUAAUCUUAGAAGAAAUAUUUAACAAAAUGGUAAUAUUUUACAAAGUAAAGAACACUUUUUCUACCUCUUUCCACAAAUACAAUUACCAUUUUCAUUACCAAAUAUAUUUUCUCAAAAUUUAAAAUUUAAAAAAUAUUUUUCAAGUUAACAAGUGACAUAGAAAAGUUUUAACAUCUUCUAUUAUGUUUAACUUAUAUAGCAAAACAAUCUUAAAUUUAUUAGGAUAUGUUUGACCGCAUUUUUUGAAACUUGUUUUUAAAAACUAUAUUUUAAGUUUUUAAAAUAAGUUUUAGAAAACAUAACCAACAGGCCUAUAUUUUCCUUUUAUUUUUAAAAACUAGUGAAAACAACUCUUACUUGUUCUCUAUAAAUUAUUUGACUAAACAAGCUCUUAGUUUCUAACCAUUUAUUGUGUACCUUCAUUUGCAAGUCCUUUACAUAAUGCAAAAAAAUUAGUUUUCCUUGUUGCCAAUAUUUGAAAAGAACAAACAAUAAUCAAUCACAAUGACAAUAAUAAAAGCAAAAUAGAGUAAUUACAUUAACAGUGUGGAAGAUAAAGUAUUCUUAAGACUACAUUUAUUGCAAUCAUUUUUAACUAGUCGAAAUGAGUUUUCAAUGAGCAAACAAAUAGAGGCGUAUGGAUUUUUACUUUUCUUAGUUAACCAUCCCAUAUGGUGCAUUAAAAAAAAAUCCUCUUCAUGUUGUAUUGCGUAUUAUUAUUAAGCAAGAAAAUUGAUGUGCAUUAGGUGUAUAUGUUGUGUUAAUUGAAACUUUAAUGCAAACAAUGUUAACUUAAAAUCAUAAAGAUAAAAUAAUUAAAACAAAAGUAUAUAAGGUUUUAAUAUGGUUUAACCAAAUAUGCCUACAUUUAUAGAUAUGAGAGAAUUGAGAAUAUUAUAAAGAAAAUAUUCAGAUAGAACCAGUGUUUUGAGAGGCACUCUUGAGGCGCACUCUAGGGUAAGGCGUUCAGAAAACUCUUGAAGGUGUUGACAAAAAAACGUUGAACACAAAAGGUGAAUGCCUUUUGGCUUGAGGUGCUUCAAAGGUGCGUCCUACGUACACCUUUGACACCUUGCUCACUUAAGUGUGAACCUUUAGUUUGCUGAGGUGGCUAAUAAAAAACGAAUUUGAAACAAACUUACCAUUAAAGACUUUGAAAACCCCACAAACACGUUGAAGAUUGAGGAUGAAACAAAGAGAACAAGUUGAGGGAGAAACCUAACCCUAACCCUAGCUCUUCUUGGUUCGUACCUUCGACGGCCUGAAAAUCAGUUUCUUAUUCGACAAUAUUACUAAAGUGUUGCUCCUUUUUCUCACUCCAAUGAUUUCAUCUUGACAUAAGUUCUUCUUCAGUGGUGACAUGGCGUGAAGAACUACAUCUUCUUCAUCUUGAUUCUCAACAAGUAUGUCUUCUCAUCUCUUUUUCUCUCUCUGUUGCCCACCCUUUCUUAGUCUCAUACAGUCACACCCUUCUCAUAUUCUUUUCUCUCUCUUUGUUUUUCACUCUCUUCAAGAUGUAGUUUCUCACAACUUCAAUAAUCCCAAAUAAAUUCCACCAACAACAUUUAUUGCACCUGACAACAACGCUUAUGGCAUACAUAAUGCAGUGAACAAUCGUGAACAGUGCAAUGAACAGUAUUACACAGUGCAAUUAACAGUAUUACAGUGUAGUGAACAUUAUUAUACAGUGCAAUGAACAGUGUGCACUGUUCUUUAAUCAUUGCGCCAACAUUAAAUUUUAAAAUAGUGCACACAACACCAUUUUUUUAAACAAUGCACAACACUAACUUUUUAAACAAGCACAUGACAAUAUCUUUAACUCUUUUAAAAAAUGCACCCAACAUUGUUCUUUUACUCUUCCAUGCUUUAUUUAUUUAUUUAUUUUUUUAAUGUGAUAUUUUAAUUAUGCCUUAUUGACCGAACUUAUCUAUUGUACCAAAAUAUUUAAGCCUAAUAUGUAGUAGUUUUGGCCAAGAAAGAUUAGAGAAAAAAUUGCUAUGGUUUUUGUAGUAUUCUAAGUAUCAUCCUCAAGGACUAGCUUAUAGGAUUUGUCAAUACUAGGGUAAAUGAAUUGUUUUUAUUUGAAUCCUAAAAUGGAAAACGAUAUGUGAAUAAUGUGAAACUAAGUAAAAUAAAUUAAAUUAAUCACAAAAUGAAUAAUGAUUUUAAAUUCAAUUGAUUCAAGUUUGAGGCUUUCCACAAUCCAACUUAAGGUAUAGAAAUUAAAUAAAACAAAGGUCUUUUAAGUAAUAUGAUCUUAGGGUUUUGGGAUCCUUGGCCACUCACGAUCAACUUGAAUUUUAUAACUCAAAAUUGCAUCUGAAGCCUAAUUUUUCCUUUUCAAAACAGAUUCCUAAAACCAUCAAAUGAAUAAGUUUGAUUACCAGUUUAAGAUUUGAAUUUUUAACCGUUCCUACUCCUUAUAGCUUUGUUUUGGGGCAAAUAAUGAUAGGGAAGACAAUGAUAACUAAUGAUCAAGAGUUACCAAGAAUCAUUAGUAUCAGGUAAUAACCUAUCGUAUCAUUCCCUAAACUAACUCACAAGGAUAGGAUAAAAAAAAUUGAUAAAUUGUCACCCAACCAAUAAUUAAUCUUAUUGUUAUAAUAAUUUACCCAUUGUCCCUAUAGGUUUCCUAGCCCUUAGGUUUUCAUGCUUCAAGCCCCAAGUUGGCUUUUUAGCCUCUCAUGGGGGUGAUGUCACAUUCACAAUUCAUAAUAGGGUAAAAAUCCAUAAUCUAAAUCAAAAGAAAGAUAUCUAAACCCUAUAACUAAGAGAGUUUAUAUAAUAUCAUCAAUUGUCUAACAUGUGUCACACUCUCAUUGGCCACUUAUUACAAAAUAAUUACCAAAAAUGAUUAAAAAUAAUAAUAAAAUGAUGAUUUCUAAUCGUAUGGGGUCCACUUGGGGCAGUUGGAGUGCCCUAGAUGCAAUUCCUAAGGUAAAGGAGGUAGAACAUCAAACUGGUAGUGGGUGAAUUCGAAAUUGGGGUCAUUUCGAAUUGGAUUUCGAAUUCAUAAGUUGGAUUUCUAAAUGGUCCUUUAACUUUGCGCAGAUGUCUUCAAAUGACCAUAAUUUCUUCAUUUCAACUUCAAUUUGUACAUUGUUUAAAAAGUUGGACUCCUGACUUCUUGAGCUUUGAAAAGAUAUAUAAUAUCUCUAAAAUGGACUCCAGGAAGUAUUCCAAAUUUGUCCUCAAAUUCAAAGUAUAUGUUGCCACCAAAUUUUGAGUUCUACAUUUUCAUGUAACUAAAUCUUGUUUCAUGCCUCAUUUCCCAUGUUUUCAUGCCUUUUUUUUUUACUUUAUAAUAGUCAUUUCUCAUCUUUUAAACUCAUGAUAUCCUUGUCUAGCCUUUCUUCGUUGUCCAUGAAUCUUGACUCACUCAUUUCCUCAUUUAACCAUUUCUUGAUCUUUCAAAAUGUAAAGUGACUCAACUUGCACCCUUUUCCUCCUUUGAACCUGAGAUAAAUCUCCAAAAUACAAGUUAAACUCAUGGUUAGGGUUUUAGCAUCAAUUUAGGUCAAGUUGGGUUAUUUGAGUGUUAUUCGGUGCACAAAUCAUAUCGAAUAUGUGUCAUUAAAGCACAUAUUUUGGCUAUAAUCACUUAUUAUUUUUUUAAGGUCAAUUAUAUAAUGAAAUUUGAUUAUUAUUGUUAUUAUUAUUUUUAGAAUGAGUUCCUCUAAUUCAAAAUUUUCACAAAGAUAUUUUGGGUGGAAAUAUAUUAUGGAAGUUUCCAAGGAAAAAUAUAUAUGAUGUAAGUUUUGUAAUCAAAGAUGCACGGAAAUGGUGAAUAGACUCAAGCGUCACUUAGCCAAAACUCAUCAUGGUAUGAAACCAUAUAACAAAGUUAGUGAAAAUAUUAGAUUGGAAUGCCAAGAGGCACUGAGCAAUUAUAAGGAAUAAAAUAAAAUAAAUUACUCCAAGAAAUUGGUAUGGGUCGAAAUGAGAGUGUUUUCUCUACAAUAAUGGGGACAUUAUGGAAUGGGAGUGGGGAACCUAUACCUAGGGGGCCCAUGGAUAAAUUUUCCAUUUCAUAACCUAAACAAAGUACUUUGAAUUCUAAGUGAAAGCUAGAAGAAAGAAAGGAAGUGUGUAGAAAAAUUAGUCAAUUUAUGUACUCAGAUAGUCUUCAAUUUAAUACAGUGAAUGAUCCUUAUUGGGUUCAUAUGGUUGAUACAAUUGCAAAUUUUGGGCUCGGGUUUAAGCCUCCAUCUAUGCAUGAAUUGAGAACAUGGAUUUUGAAAGAAGAGGUGAAUGACAUAAAUAUCAUAAUGGAAGAGCACAAAAAAGCUUGGAAACAAUAUGAAUGUUCAAUUAUGUCAGAUAGUUGAAUAGAUGGAAAUAGUAGAUGUCUUAUAAAUUUUUUUGGUGAAUAAUCAUGUUGGCACAUGGUUUUUGAAAUCAAUUUAUGCAUCUGAUAUGAUAAAAAAAAAUGGAGAAUUGAUGUUUCAGCAUCUUGAUGAGAUGGCUGAAGAAAUUGGAGAGGAGAAUGUUGUGCAAGUUAUUAUUGAUAAUGCAUCUAAUUAUGUGAAUGUUAAAAUGAGGCUUAUGGAAAAAAUGAGAAGAUUGUGGUGGACUCCUUAUGCUGCUCAUUGCAUAAAUUUGAUAUUGGAGGGUGUUGGGAAACUAAAUGUUCAUGCUAAUACACUUUUGAGAGCUAGGCAAGUGGUGAAGUUCAUAUAUGGACAUAUUUAGAUUCUUAGCUUGAUGAGAACAUUUACAAAAUAUCAUGAAUUUAUUCGUCCAGCAAUUACACGAUUUUCUAUUACAUUUCUUACUCUCUAAAGUUUUUAUAAGCAAAAACAAGCUCUUAUAGCAAUGUUCUCCUCUGAAAAAUGGUGUUCUAAUACAUGGGUCAAAAAGGUAAAAGGUGUAAAAGCUUUAAGUACAAUGUUGUUUAAUCCAAAUUUCUAGCCUCAUGUUGCUUUUUAUAUUAAGACCACUAUUCCAUUAGUAAGUGUCUUGAGAGAGGUUGAUUCAAAGGAAAGACCAGCCAUGGGUUAUAUUUAUGAGUUGAUGGGCUUAGCCAAGGAGAAAAUUGCAUUUAAUUAUGGAGGCAUGGAGAGAAAAUAUGGCCCAAUUUUGAGAAAAAUAGAUGCAAUAUGGACUUUGCAACUUCAUCGGUCUUUACUUGCAGUAGGAUAUUAUCUUAGUUCUCAAUUGCACUAUGAAGAUAAGUUAACUAAUGUAAAUGAGGUAAGGAAGGGAUUAUUUGAAUGCAUAGAUAGGAUGUUGGAUUACCAAAAACGUUUAAAAGUUGACAUUCAAUUGGACUCAUAUGACCAAGCAAUGGGUGAAUUUGGAAGUCAUCUUGCAAUUGAUUCUUAAAGAUUAAGAAGUCUACGAGUCAGUGGAUGUGUUUUAGAGGUUCCACAUCAGAGUUGCAAAAGUUUGUUGUUCAAGUCCUUAGCCUCACUUGUAGUGCUUCGAGAUGUGAGAGAAAUUGGAGCACUUUUAAAUCAAUCAUACUUCUAAUUUUUUUUUUUUUUAAAAAAUAGUGUAUACAUUUUUAUUCUAAUAUUAUAUAACUUUAAUUUAAUUUCAACAUAUGAAUUUGUUUAAAUUAUUAUUUGUAGAUUCAUACCAAAAAGAGAAAUAGACUUGAACACGAGUUUAAAUGCUCUAUUGUAUGUGAGGUACAACACUAGAUUGAGAGAGCGAAAUCUACAAAGGAAACAAAAUGUUGAUCUGAUUUUGGUAGAUGAGAUUGAUUCAGAUGAUGAGUAUAUUGUGGAGAAAGAAGAUCCUCUCAUCUCACUUUAUCUUUGUUGGCUGGAAGAUAAUGAACUAUUUAAUGUUGAUGUCAUUAGAAUUAUGUCAUCCUAAGACUAAGAGACUCAAGAGUCAUUGGACAAAAUGGUUUCUUCACACUCCAACAAAAGAAAACAUGAUGAAUUUGCAAGUACUAAAAGUUUUCAGUUAUAAAUUUUAUUAAAUUUAUUAAUGAACUUAUAAUAUUUACACCUAAUAUAUACUUUAAAUUAGGUAAAAGUAGAGACAAAAGUAAAGGGAAGGAGUUGAAUUUGACACCAAUUCAUGAAGAUGAGGAGUUAGAUGAAUUGAGAGGGUUGAUAAUGGAAACCUUCCUACUAUUGAUACAUUAGAUAAGGAUGAGGAUGACAUUGGAGAGGAUGAUUUAAGUUGAAACGUUCUAGUAAUAUGUGUUGAACUCUAUUUGAUAUUUUGUGACUUGGUUAUGGUUGUUUGUGAAAGUUUGAAACUAUUAGUAUGGUUGCCUUUAUUUUCUAUUGACUUAGUUAUGGUUUGUUGUGAAAGUAUGGAACUAGUAAGGUUUUUUUUUUUUUUUUUUUUUAUAAUUCUAAUGGAUUGUUUUCAUGUUUUUAAUUUAUGCUAUUUUAUUUUUAUUUUUUUAUAUAUUAUAAAAUAUUUAUUAAUUAUAAAAUGAGGGCUCAAAAAGCAUAUGCUUCAACGCUUCAAGACUUACACCUCGCCUUAGGCCUUCGCCUUUAAAAACUGUGAAUACAACUAUUAGGUUCUUGAAAGAUCUCGUGUUUCCCCAUUUUUUGUAUCUACGCCCUGAAUCAUAAGCUUGAACCAUAAGCCCUAAUUCUAUUGGUUGUCUCUCAUUCUUCCUCACAUCCCUAUCCAUCUCAUAUAAUUUUUACGAGCUCAUCUCUAUCUCAUAACAUUUUUUUUAUGACCUAAAAUAUUUAUAAAGAUGUUCCCAAUAACUUUUCUUAUUUUAUAAAGAAAUUUAAUAUUAUAAUAAUAUAUUAACUUAAAAAAUAUUUUAUAUAAUAUUUUUUACAAAAAAAAAUGAAUCUUUACUAAGAAUUUGAAACACUUUUCAAUUGUAUGUUUACACAUAACAUACCAUUCUUAAUUGUUUCAGGGCAUAAGUUCAAUUAUACAAUUAAAUUAUUGGCUCCAAACUUCUUUCAUCAAGUAUCGACACCUUGGAUCUAGGCUUAUUAUAGGCAAAAUUAUUGAUUUUUCUCUCUAGUGCUUUUUGGGUCAUAAAAGAUGGAAAAAUAAAAAUAAAAAUAAGAAAAGAUUUUUUUAAAAAAAAAGUGUAACAUUACCAUGAUCAUGCUACAAAAAUAUCAUAAUUAACCUAUACAAGAUCAAAGUCAAUGCUUUAGUUGACUUCAAAUACUAGUCUUUAUCAUCAAUUUUAAGCUUUAAAAGGAAUUCUUAAAUACUUAUAUUAACCCCAUCCAAAAAUGCCAAUACCUGGUCUUCAUCACAAGCUCUUUCAUCCCCUACAUUAAUUAGUAUUAUAUAAAUUUUUUUUCCAAGGAGAACUCUACAAAUCUUAUGAAAGUUGGUGAGAAAAAAAAGCCCUAAUAGCUAUUAAUUUAUAUUUACCAAUAUUUUCAUAAUUACACCGAUUAUUGAAUCGAAAACAUUCUUUAUUCAUCAUUCAUUAGUUGGAUCGAUGAUCAAACUGCGACUAAAUUAGUGAUGCUAUAAAUAAAUAUUUUAAAUAUUAUUAAAAUUAAAAAUAAUUUUAAAAAAUAAAAAUAGUAAAUUUUAAGGAGCCCAAUGUUUUUAAAAUUUAUUUAAAAUCAUAAUAUUUUAAUUAAUUAAAAUUAAAAUUAUAACAUUUAGAAAUUAUAAAAUUAAAAAAAAAUUACCAUUGUAAAAUUAAAAUAAAUAAUAAUGGAAAUAAACUAAUACAAUAAAUAUGAAUAAAAAAUAUAAGAAAAAUAUGAAAAUGUGUGAAAGACCUAUAAUAUCGUGUUUUUAUAUUUAAAUGUUAUUUUUUUCAUAUUUUUAUUCUAUAAAUCAUAUUUAAUUAGACAUGAAAUGUGAAGAUUGAAAUAUUCUAAUAAAAUAUUUUCCUUGGCAAUGGAUUAUAUUUUAUUUUUCCACUUAAGUACGUAAGUUGUAAGAGAAAACAAUGGUUUAUAUUUUCCAUAAUAAGUUUGAGAUGAGAAAAUGGCCGGAUAAGAUGAAUUUUUGGCGUGGAGACCAUGGUGGCGCGUGCUUACACCCGGCGUAGGGGCGCGUGCUUACAUUGUCUCUUUGAAGGAGCGUAGGAACCAGGGCAGAUCAAAAGAAGGCCGGCACUCAUAAAGUGCUGUACGAACUGCAGGAAGCAGAAACAGAAAAAGUAUUGCAGGUUAGUGCGGUAGGGCCCACAAAUUGUCAUAAAAAAUAUUAAAAUAGUAAAUGUGGGGGUGGCGGCAAUGGAAUCUGGCGCUGCAGACUUCUGACAUGAGGCGCCCAUUAGCCGUCAGAUUUUGUCCUUUGACGCGCCCACCAGCCAUCAGAUUUGGGCCACACUGACAUAUGGUCAAAGUCAUUGGGUACUUAGAUGGACCGUUAUCAUUGGUCACGCGCUUAACAUUUUUGGAUGGAGAGGACCUCUUCGUGUGUUAUGUCAUACGGUGUACUUCACGCAUUGAUAAUGCGUGCCGGGAAAUUGUUUUGCGGUUUCUAUCUUUUGAAUGUUAAGGUACAGCCAUGCCUUUUGGAUUCAGUACGUGGUGCUUUUUUAUACGAUUGAAAUAGGUUUGAGGUCCAAUUUUUUUUUUAAGGGGGUGGGCGGCUGUGGGAGAGAAAGGUAGGCUAUUUGGAAGGAGGGAAGGGAGGGGGACCUUGUGGUGUGGAGGACAGUUAAGAAAGCAGGGUGAAAAGAGACAAGGCAUGGGUGCCUCCCAACACGCGGCGAGAAAAUCCCUCGUUGGAAGAUAGCCGACAACCUCCACUUAUCCCUACCCCUACGGCCUACCCUUCAUUUCUCCGCCUUAAUUUACUGUUUCACCUGCCUUUUGCAGGCCGUUCUCACUUUCCAAAAUUUCGUUUAUGACUUUUCUUACCAUUUUUAUUGACUUAUUCUACAGUGACUCAAGGAUAAUGCAAAAUAAAGGGAGUUGAGCAAAGGAAAAGGACAAUGACUGGGAGCGUGGAGGACAGAGGAGGUGAAGGUGGCGUGUGGAUUUGAGUAUGAGCCUGAGUUUCGAGUAGCUAUCGGGUGGUAGUGGGGACCACCGAUCACCCUUCACGUGGGAUCCUUUACUUCUAUCACUUCGUUUUUAUUCAUCAUCAUCCACUUCAUCCAUGUAGAUACAUCAUACAUCCAACAUAUAUAUAUAUACACACACGUAUACAUGCAUGCAUGCAUGCAUUGGACAUGUGCCCAAUUGCACACGUUCAAACUUGGGGAAGUGCUUUACAAUGAAGUUGAAGUUUUGAGAAUAGCCCUAAGAGUUUUGCUUUAAAGUCUUAACAUAAUAGAAAAGCUUAUCCAAAAAAGAUGCUAAACACAGAGGGUAAGUGAAUUUUAUUCUUUCUUAAAAUAAUUUUUUUCACUAUUAAUAAUUUUAUCAUAAAAUUUAUUUUAGUUUAGAUCAAGAUUUUUACCAUUAGUUCCUUCAUGUAAUAAAAUUAAAAUUCUAAAAACAAUCAUUUUAAUUGAAUUUUUGGAAUUAUAUAACCAAAUUUUGUUUUUAAUUAAUUUAUGUUGAAAUUGAUUUUUAAAAAUAGUUUUUUAGUAAUUUAAUAUAAUAAAAUUAGAAUUCUAAAUAAAAUUUUCUUAUUUCAUUUACAAGAAUUAAUUUUUCAUUAAAGGAUUAAUAAAAAAUUAUUAUAUUUCUUUAAAUGAUUUUGAUAAAAAAAAUUGAAAUGGCAAUGAAAUAAAUUACCAUAUAUUAUUUUUAUUUAUUAUGAAUAUUUAUGUUAUAUAAGAUUUUUUUUCCUUUUCCCUUACACAUAUAGACAUCAAAUUUUUUUUAAUGAACAAAAUUUGGACUCCACAAGUGAUGAAUUACGUUGUAUUUGACACGUGAUAUAUAUUCAAAAAGUGACACAUAACAAAAUUUGUAAGGCUCCAAAAUUUAAUCUUACAAAUAAAAUCAAAUAUUCUAAUUGCACUCAAAAGAGAAUUAAAAAUAUAUAAAUAUAUUUAACAAAUUUUUAAAGGAAACAAAUCUUUCAAUUGAAGUCAAAAGAAAAUUAAAAAUAAAUAUUCUUUUGUUGGUAAAUUUGUAGGAGAUAGAGAAAUAGAGGGAACAAGACAAUAACACCAAAGUUUAAAAUGAAAAAUCUUUAAAGAUAUAAAAAAAUCAUGGGUUUGCAAGUGAUUCAAAACAUUCACUAUGAAGAAUAACCACUAAGUACAAAGUUUUACUUUAACUUAAUUCUACUAAUCCUUCUAAGUCACUUGACUAACAUCUUUCAACUUAUCUACUCAUCUUUUUCUUUCGAAAUAUUCUUAGAGUCUACAUUAAGCUUGAUCUUGAUUUCUUCUUAAAUCUAUGCAAAAAGAAAAUAGGUUUUUACCCCAAUCCAAUAAUAACAAAGAGAGAAUGGAUCGAAGAACUAAAUCAAUCAACCCACAAUGAAGAAAAAUGUAAUAAAAAAUUGCUUUGAACUUCAAGAUAGAUUGGAUUUUCUCAAGAAACAAACACAACCAUACUUAGAAAUGAAGAGGCUAGGAGCUAAAUGGAUGUGUGUGUGAUGACUAAUGGUGUUCUCUCAAACCUAAAAUAGCAAUUUUGGGAUGAAUAGGAAGGAGAACUCUCGAUCCAAUGACUUAAAAUUUUUCACAAUUGAAGGUGGAUUGAUCCUACUUAAAGUUGGAUCAAUUUGGAAAUAGGAUAUAAAAGUACUUAGCCAAAAAACAAAUACUCAAGACUCCCAAAGUUUUUUUUUUUUGUUUUUUUUUUAAUAUCCAAGAUAACCAUUAAUUAAAUAAAUAAAAAAACCCAAUUGAUUCAAUUUCGCCCAUCCACUACUUCAAUUACAUGUCUUAACCUCUUCAUGCUUUCAACACUUUCGUCUUUAUUAGAUACUUAGAGUGAGGAAGGAUUUGAAAAAUUGGAAUUAAGAGUAUGUGUAAAAAAUUUUGUUUAAAAUUAUUAAUAUAGCUAAAACACUUACAAAAACAACCAAAAUGAUUGGAACAAAGUAUAUAUCGAUUUUGAAACAUACUCCUUUUAAUAUUAUUUAUUUAUUUAUUUAAAGGGACUUCAAAUUUUGGAUCUAUUCUAUGGAAUCCAUCAACCACCGAAGGUAAAAUAAGGGUGUCUAGUCUUAGAACUCCAACGGAGUAAAAAAAUUUCCUUUUCUUUACAUUUUUAUUUAUUAUUUUUUCUCAUUUUUACUAUUUUAUUUAGCUUUUCUUCUACCUUUAUCAAUUUUAAAUCAUUUUUUUAACAUAAAAAUACUAAAAAAAAAAUUAUAAAAAUAAGAAGAAAAAAAUUUAUGAAAAUGAAAUUGAAAGAUAGAAAAAUAAAUUAAAAAAAGAAUAGAAAUUGAAAUCAAAAGAUAAGAAAAACGGAAAAGUUUAGGAUAAGGAUAUUUGAUGGGUAUAGGAGAAUCUAAGAAGAAGAAGAAGAUAAUAUAGUUUUAAUAUUUUAUAUUUAUUUUUAUUUGAAAAAAAAAUUGAAUAAAAGAAAUUAGAUGGGUGUGGCGAUAAAUUUGAUGUGUUUAACAUUUUCCUUUUUAUUUGUAUUUUAAAAAUAAAAUGCAUGCGAAAUUACCCUCUUGCCCAUCCUUUUCAACCUCAAACCAAAAAUAUAAAAAUUAGCACUAAUCUCAAUUAAUAAUAAUGUUAGCAAGUCAAAUUCAAAUUUAAAUAAGAAUAACUUCAUAAAUUGUAAAUAAAAUUUUUUAGAAAAAGUAAAAUAUUUUCUGGACGUAUUUAAUAUUCAUAUUUUUUCUCAUAAUCUAUUUUUGUUCAUAAAUUUAACUUUUCAACUUUUUAUUUAUUAUAUGAAAAUUUUAUUUUCCUAUAACAUUUUUCUAAUACAUUGAAAGUUCUACAGUUUUGUUUUUAUUGAAAGUUUUGUGAUUUUAUGUUUGAUGUUUUAUUAUAUAUAUAUAUAUUUGUGUUGGGUUCUUAUUGAUUUUGAGAUAUUUGAAUAUUUUGAAUUUUAAUUAUUUAAUUAAAUAAUGGUGAAUUUACAAUGAUGCUUAACAAAAAGUUUCAUCACUCUUGACUUAUUUAUAUAGUUAUUUGAAAAAAAUUAUAAAUUUAUUAGAAAAAUUAUUGAUUGUUUUUUUUAAAAAAAAAAAAAUUAAUAUUUUUUGCCACAAAAUUUAUUAAAAUUAUUAAAAAUUUUAUAGGAAGAUAUCUUGCUAUUUUUAUAAGGGUUAGUUGAUUAAAAGAGCUAUUGAAGACCCAAUUUGAAAAUUCAACUCUUUAUCAUUUUUUGACCUCAUUUUGACAAAAAUGUGCUCACUUUUUUCUUGUAAAACUAACUUUUACUUUUAAAAUUACAUGUAAAUGCUUUAAAUGAUCAAAGACAUUUAUGUCAAAUAUAGGUUAUUUUUCAAGUAAAAACAUAGAAAUUGUUUAAAUUCACAAAUAUGAAAAUUAUUUCAUCAUUUUACCAAAAAAAUCUUUUUACAAUUCUUUUAAAAAUUUUAUUCAAGAUUUUUUUAUUUUAUUUUAUUUUCUUUCAUAUCCAAGGCUUAAAUUGCUAAAUUUGUUUAAUGACAAUGAUGGUACAACCAACAAUUUUUUCUUUCUUUUCAUAUCUAAGAACUUAGUUUAAUUUAUGAAGGUAUAUUCGACUAUUUUAUGAAAUCAUGGAAGCUUGCUCUAUUUUAUAACUUGUCUAUUUGUCGUCUUAUGCAUUUUCAAAUUAUUUAAUUUUUAUAUAAAACAAAAAAAUAAAUGAAAUGAGUUUCAAGAAUAACAUAAAUAUAGUUUACUAACUUUAAAUCUAUUUUUUUAUUUGAAUUUAAUUUAUUUUUUAUUUUUUAUUUGUAUUUUUUUCCCUUGUAUUUUUUUCUUAAAUUUUAUAAAAAUCAAACAUGGGAUAAAAAGUAUGGAUGACUUAUUCAUCAUGACGAGUGUUGUACAAAAGAAGCCAAAAGAAUUUUAAUUAGAGAACAUUUUUUUUUAUAAACUCAUUUUAAGAAGUUUCUUACUCCAAACUUUAUUCGAACUAACUUUGACACUUUAUACCUCUUCUACUAUAAGUGUUCUAAUAAGUAACUAAAGACAGUGAGACUUUUAAGCAUUAAUAGAAGUUUUAUGCCAAACAAGGCCUUAAUAAGAUAUACAUCACCGUGGACACCGUAUUUCGCACGAUCCGUUUCCACUCGAUGGUGAAACUCGUUUUUUUAUUUGAUUAUUUCAUUUUGGUAUCCACUGAUUUCCUUAUCAAUUGCUAUGCUUGCUUUAUCUCAUUAGUAAAGACCCAUUUUUUGGGACUUAGAGGGGUGCUAUGGUCUUUAUCAUACCUUCCCAAUAAAUAACUUGACCCCCGAGCCCAAAUUUGGUUUUUCAUAGACCUGUUUUUUCCUUCAAGAGUCACACUUAGGGUUUUUAUUUUUUAUUUUUUUUUCCUUAAAAAAUAAAACAAAAAUAAGUGGCAACUCCAAGUCUUUUUUUUUUUCUUCAAAAAAUCAAAAUUUUCACCAAAUAAAUGAAAAACGAGUCUCAUCAUUCGAGUAGGAACACACGUGAAAAACGCGGGUCCACAAAAUGGCGAUUCUACUGGGGAUAAGUAGAGGGUCAAACUUGAACUCAAGUUGAGGCAAAUGUGGCUUUUGAUUGGUCGAUUGAUGGAUACCUUCCCUUUGUGCUUCUCUAUGCUUGAGUUAUCAUAGCACAUUAAGGAUUUUGAUGUGGUGAUUUUCUAUGCUUGAUUGCUAUAUCCAUUUGUGACAUUGGCAUGCUGAUGAUAUUGAUCAAUUAUGCUCUUGCCAUGAUUAUUCUGCUCACUUUGACAGUGGUGAUUUUCUAUGCUUGAUUGCUAUAUCCAUUUGUGACAUUGGCAUGCUGAUGAUAUUGAUCGAUUCUACUCUUGCCAUGAUUAUUCUACUCACCUUGACAGUGGUGAUUUUCUAUGCUUGAUUGCUAUAUCCAUUUGUGACAUUGGCAUGCUGAUGAUAUUGAUUGAUUCUACUCUUGCCAUGAUUAUUCUGCUCACCUUGACAUGUACAUUCUUUUUUUUGCUUAUCUCAUUCAUCUUGAUAUGAUUGAUUCUCUUGGUUGUAUAUUAUCUUGAUUAUCAUGGAACAUGCUAUCCUUACUAGAUAUUCAUCUCGAUUAUCAUAUUCUUGCCUAGCUUGUGUGUAGAUAUGAGUGAUAUACAUAUUCUUUGCAUGACUAUCUGUUGCAUGACUUCUCUCAUUCCGUGUGAUUUCAUGAGUUGUUUGUCUAUGUGGGACAUACACCUAUCCCCUUAUCUCCAAGUCCCCAGUUUCAAUCAACCUUGUUUUCCUUGAUCUCGUAUUUGAUAUGAGACUUGUUGUUUUGUUUACUCUUCAACCGAGCUAGUGAUUAGGAGUAGGGUCUAGCGAUGGGUUAUAUCUAUGUUGAGGGGCAUUUUAGAGGUGGAUGACACAUUGAUGUUGAUUUGAGUCCGACCUUUGAAGACUUGUAUAGCCCAGAGUUAGAUUUUAUGGAUAUUUGUGUGAUCAGUGUGUUUCUUUUUUCUACUUUACCUUCAUAGGAUUUUCGGAUGCACCUACACCACUCACUGUGCACUUUAGUCGACUAUUGAGUGCUGAGAGUUGUGAAAGCUUUUACCAUAGGAAACCCCUAGGAUGUUGAGGUAGUGCAUGUGUGGAGGUGAUGACCACCUUGCAUGGAAGCGUCCCAUCUCUUUGGAGGAGUGCAGAAGGUUGCAUACCGCCAGAUGGUAUGAUUGCUUAUGCUAGGGAUCAUUUAAAGUCCACCAUUUUUCUUUUUAGAGCCACCUUGAACUUCUAGGUUGAGUCUUAAAUCCUUCGAUCAGGACUUCUUUCCUUAAACAUGGGUGCAUCUGAGGGCCUUUAAAGCCUCUUUAGUUACAGUUCGGAUCUAGUACUCUCUCUUUUGGUCUCCAAUCGAGAGUGCUUAGAUAACAAUGCGAGUUUGAGUAUCAAUUAGACCACCCAUUACUGUAUGGUUUUGGUUUCUUCUUGUUGCUCGUUAAGUCUAACAUACUUUCUCUUAGGGCUUUAGAUAGUCUUAUUUUCUUGAUUUGACGCAUUCUUUUGGUUUGUUGUCACUUUUUGCUUGACGUUUUGGGAUAUGCUUAUUGAUUAUGCUCACUUUUUUACAUUUUCUACCUAUCAUGGGCUUGGUACUUCAUUUUUUUGGGCAAUUUGCCUAAUUUUAUUUUCAACCCGAUAUUUUUAUUACAGGAAAGUGAAAGGUAUGUUUUCACAUUUGCACCAUUUUUUAGAGAUUCGUCUUGAUCACCCUAUGAUUUUUCUUUAUGGAGAUCAGGUUGAAAGUGAAUUAAGGAUAUUUUGUUAUAGAUUGAGUAUCGAUCUCGUGAUAGUUUUGUUCUUCACACCUCAUUCAUUUUCUGGAUCAUUGAUAGAAUUUUUUUAGUCAUAUUUGUAGUCAUCUCACAUUGGACACUCCUAUGACUCUAAAGUUUCUAUUGUAUAUCCAAGUUUUGAUUGUCACCAUAGAAUUGUGUAUCACACCUUGUCAUGUACUGGGUUGUGUUGUAUUAUGCAUUGGUCAUUGUUCGUUGCAUCUUGUGUCGUUGCAUGAUUCGUGUUUGAGUCGUUUUGUUUGGUUCUUUUGUAUGAGUUUAUUUAUAGUCCCAAUCUUGGUUCAGUGCCCUGGGUUGAGUUGGAAAGAGGUUGAUUCAUAUCACUGAGCUACUAUAGAUGGAUUCAUAGUUAGUUUCGAUUUAUCAGCUUACCACUUAUGUGGCUUCGAUUUAGGAGACAUUGAUCAAUUUGAGUUAGAGGAUGAAUACUCAGCAGAGUAGGCAUGUAGUGCUCGAGGACACACCAUCUAAUUUAGUGUCACCACCUCUACCUGUUCAAAUGCCAGCUACACAGACUUUGCAUACUAUUUCACAUGAUUAGGCUGCUGUUGUUUCACCUAUUGUCACACUAGUUACCGUUAUUGAGGAUCCUCGUUCUCGUAUGGACAAACUCGAGCAGAGGAUUAAACGGAUGAGAGAUCUUGAUGAGACAAUUUCUUGGGAUGACAUUGAUGAUAUGCUAAUGGACACUUUGCCAGUCGUUUUUAGAAUGCUUGAGAUAGAGAGAUAUAUGGGUGUUGGAUGUCCUCGUAUUCAUCUCAAACUUUACAACACAUUUAUAAGGGCUCUUGGUAUAGAUGAGGCACGGUUGCUCACUUUGUUCCCAUUGUCAUUAAGUGGCACAACAUAGAGAUGGUACGCUUCAUUAGAGUAAUCUCGUCGGAGGACUUGGAAGGACUUAGCACAGGAGUUUCUAAGACAGUAUUCAUUCAGUAGUGAUACGAGCGUUACAUGUAGAGAGCUUGAGUUUCUUAGACAAAUAUCAAAUGAGCCAGUUUCUUCUUUCAUCUCCCGUUGGAGGGAGAAGGCUACGGAGAUGAUUGAGUGACCUACUAAGAGAGAUCAGAUGUGCAUGUUUUUUAGGAGUUUGCAACCUAGGUUUGCUCGACAUUUGACAGAGAUCCCUUUCUAGGAUUUCAGAUCAUUGGUUCAGGCUUUGUUCAAUGUAGAUGAUGGCAUAUCUAGAGGAUUAUGGUAAGAUGUUACUCUUUCCCUAGAUACUAAGGAGAAGAGAGUAGUACCAUUGGCCUUUAAGCCACCCCUGAUUACUUUGUCUCCGCGUUUUCAUGCUCAUGAGUUUUGUGCAUUUCACUAGAUGGUAGGCCAUCGUAUUGAUUAUUAUGCUUCUCUACGUCAUACGAUAUAUGAUCUUCUUGAUAGUGGUGCGGUUAGCUUUCCUGUAUCAACCACAGAUACCGAUCUUGGUCCAGAUAUGACUGUUGAUUCCUUUGUAGCCUAUUCCACACAUGCAGUUCCUUCUCUUUUAGGCUUAUACCAUCAUGUUUUGGACACCCAGGGCACGGAUAUUCAUAAGACACUUUAAUAUUGUAGACCUUGUUGAUAUAUUUAGGGACUACAUUUUAUGUUGGUCGUUUGAGUUUUUGUUCCAUUUUAUUUUAUAUCUGAUUUUUUUUUUACAAUUAGUGAUUCGAGUUUGUAUCCCGUGUUUCGAGAGUAGGCCUUAUUGUCUUACUAUUUUGCAUGAUGUACUCUCGUUUCACUUAGUGAUAUUGUUGUUUUCUUAAGUAUGUGUUUCUGUUUUUUUUUUAAUUUUUUAUUAUUAUUAUUGUUUCAUAUCAUGCAUUUUAUAUAUUGUUAUCUUAAGUAACAUUAUGUGUUGCUUUGUUUUGUCUCUUGCAUGUGUUUGUUUUAGAGUCUUAAACAAUUUGAGUACUGUGAUUGGUUCCCGAGCAGAGAUUAAUGGCAUGAUGGUUAUGAUAUAGAGUACAUUGAAAUUAAACUUCUUCAGCUGAGGUUCACCAUGUCAGACGAGAUCGCACCAAUUACUCUUACUACUCUUUAUGAGAUGAUGGUAGAUUUGACACGGAUGAUUGAGCUUAUUUUGUCAGAAUAUCCAUCGUCAUCGAGAAGAGCUCCAAAAGUAGUGAUGCCUUUAUUGCUGAUUACUACCAAAAAGUGCUAUUUUGUAGACCUAAUUAUAAUGGUUUUAAGCACCUUUGAGUAGUAAUCAUAUUCAUUUAACUCAAUUAAUUCAUUAAGGUCCUUAGUAAUUGGUUUUAACCAUUUUGUGGCAAGUUUAUAUGUUUUUAUCAGCUUAUGAAUCAAUUCAAGCAUGCCAAAUGAUGGAGGAGCUACUUGGACAAGUUAUGGCAAAGCUUUUGGAAGCUCAAAUUCAUGAAGAAACCAAGCUUUGGAGCCUCAUAGUCCUUUGCCUUAGUCGUUCAAAGUAUGCAAGGAAAGAACACUGGAGAGACGAAAACAGAGUGAAGAAAACAGAGGACAGCAGCUGCAGUCUUCUUUCCCACUUUUGGAGUACUUCCUGAAGUCCAUUUUCUACAUAAUAUAUACCAUUUCAAAGCUCAGGAAGUCAACAAUCCAAUGCUUCAAACGGUGCACGAUUCGGAGUUGAAAUGAAGGAGUUACAGCCAUUACAAGAUGAUCACUCCAAGCUGAAGGAAGCAUUUUGCAAAGUGUUGCGGAAUCACCCUUUUGUUGCGAAAUGAUUUCGCAGCCUUUUUGUACAGUGUUGUGGAUUCCCUCCUGAAGUUGCCCGAUAUAUGCCGCAAGCUGGAAGUUGAGAACCUCAAGGUGGAAGCCAACUUCGCAGCCCUGCGAAAAUAGCUUGUUGUUGCCAAUUGAUUUUGCAGCCCUGCUUGAGUGCCUGCGAAAUCUCGCAGACACCAUUUUCUCUUGCGAAAUGGUCCCUGGAGCAUCCCGAUAUUUGUGCACCGACUCUUUUAGAUCUUUUCUUCAGAUAUUUUUGUAUAAAUUUCCAUUUUCUCCUUAUAUUCAGCCACUCAUGUAAUUCCUUAGCUAGGAAGUAUCCAAGGAAGGGUAAAUUACCUUCCUAUAUAAACUCUCUUGUAAACACUAAAAAAAGGACUCUCAGAUAGAAAUAGAUCGAUCAAAAUAUAGAUAUAUCAUAUAUAGAAUCAACGAACAGAGCACUUGCUCUGUUUUUCAUAUAUAUUCUUGUUUUCUUGUUAGUUUUCUUGCUAGCCAAACAAACUCUGAGGAUUUUUCCUCAGAAGAUGAGAGGCUAGGCUUUUUGUCUCUUGGAGUGAGGAAAGCCGGGUAAGUUUCCACAUGCAUAAAUUGGAAGUUUUGUUGUUUUAGUUUUUAAUGAAGAGAAAGUGUGACCCGUUAAUGGUUUUUAUCUUUUUAGUUAACUUAAAACGCCUUUAAAUCACCUGGGCCAACACUUGGUAAGGCAAGUGAUCUCCGUCCAUGGAGAUGCACUAGUUUACCCCUUGCGAGCCUUUGGGAGGUGACUUGAAGGUAGGAUUUUCUAGAAUAGCCAACACUUGGUAAGCUUUUGGACUCCAAGGAGACAUCCAUUAGUUAUCUCUUGCGAGCUUUUGAUGGGUAAUCCAAGGUUAAAGAUCACCUUGAAUGGCAAGUGCUAGGUGAGAGGUAUGAGCCAUUGCAAGGUGCAUCAGUGAGAGGGAUUUAGUGUUUGAACCCAUUAAUGGGAAGCAUCUGUACAACACCGGUUAGAGAAUUAACUAUAUGUUAAUUCUCUAAUGCGAGGAAAAGAAACAAGUGACCGGAACUCUCCUUUUUGUAUGAGGAAUCUGAGCCUAGUGAUCUGAAACUCCAAGAAACAUUUUUCUUUGUAAGUAAAAUCAGUUACUAUUUUUGGUUAGUUUAAAACCAAACCUUUUUCAUUCAAACAUCUUUAUGUUUUCUUUUAAAGCUAACCUUGAAAUGAAAAGGCACCAAUUCAGCUUUGAAUUAAUAUCAUUUGUGAAGUGAAAACCCAUCCCAGUGAACGAUCCUAGAGCCACUAUGCUAUAGUAGCUUUGUCUUUGCUACCCUAGUAUAUGGUGUAAUAGGUUAUAAAUUUUGUUGAUUAAUUCCUCAAUCAAGGAGCACCAACUGCACACGAAUCAGCUGAGACACUAAUUGGGCACGAAUCAAUUGCCACAUUUGACUUCACCGACAUUUGCUACUUUGGGUGCCUCACAUCCACAACCUCGUCCACAUUUAGUGUUCCAUCAGUAUUCCUCAUCCAUUACAUUGGCUACAUUGACACGAUAUCCAUCCCAUUUUCGAGACUCUUCAGUCAUUAUAGUUCCUCAAGAGCAACUUCACCCUUGUCGACAAUGUCGGAGACCCUUUUCAAACUUAGGCAUACCCCUGAGUAGAGUUUUUGAGACGUUCCAAGCUAUGGGAUUUUUAGCCCCUUUGGCUCUUAGGGUGCUUCUAGAUCCUGUGCCUUCAUAGUUUCAACUUGAUUUAUAUUGUACCUACCAUCAAUCGGCAGGACAUCACACUAAUCGUUGCACUACUCUACGACAUGCCAUACAGGACAUUGUUGAUUCUAGGACAUUUGGACAUCCUCAAUCCAAUAUGUUUUUUUUUAUUCCUAUCUCAGCUCAAGCCAUGCAUGCAAACACCCCUUCACCAGCAAUCCUUGAUCUUAUUGACUUGGGUGAUUGACCCAUGAUUGGCUUACUUUGGUACGGUGGCGCUCAUAUUUUGUUUCCUCUAUGGCUAGAGAAGUGAUGAUUGGACCAAUCAUUGUUUUUGUUUUUUUAGUUUUGUUUUUCUUUUGACAUUUAGAGACUAUAACUCGAUUCUUGAGUAUUGUCUUUGUUAUUUUUCUUUUUGCAUGAUGUACUCAUCAGUUAUUCCAUUGGAUGUCUUUUUCUUUAUGGACAUAUGUUUGUGUUUUGUGAUAUGAUGUAUUGUACUUUUGACUCGAGGCAUUUAUUCAUUUGUACAUUGUGGUCUUGAGGUCUGACCCAUCAUGAAGAAUAUUGAACUUAUUAGCCUAGGAUCAGAGAUUUGACCUAGGGAGUUUGAGAUUGUGACCCAUCCUCUUAUGAUCAUAACAGUGUCUUACUCACUCUCACACCUUGACUUUGCUUUGACCUUUCCAUCCUCAAUUUUUCUAGCUUUGCACAUCCCCUCUUGGAUCCGACCAGGUAGAGUGUGAGAAGUUUGAGCCUAGGGUUGAUCUUGCAUGGUGAAGGAUGACUUAUGAUCUUUGGAUGACUUACAGUGUGAGGAUUAGUCGAUUGCUUGAUGGGACUAUCACUUAUUUUGCCAUGAGUAUAGAGAUUGAUCUUGUAUGAUGAGAGUUGGCUUAUGAUGAGUAGUUGUGCUUGAUGAGAUCAUCAUUUACUUUGCUUUGAGAUGAUUACCUUUGAGAUUAUUGUGGAGCAUUUGGAGUAUGGUUCGUCGCACGAUUCUAGACGGCUGACGUGGUUAUAUUAGAUAGACAUCAAUCUUCAGUAUCGAUCAUUUGAGGGUUUGAGAACACGAUGUUUGAGACCAUGGUUGCAGGAUGGGUGGUCUUCAUUUCAGUUAGCUGAUACCCUAUUACCUUUAUUGACAUCCGAACUAUUGCUAGCCCUUUGAGCCUUGCAUGAGCAUUAUAACUUUUUCUUUCUUAUAGCCUUGCUCACUUUUUACACCGAGAUAGGGGCCUUUCGGUGUAUAUAUGCUUUAUUUAGAUGUCUCAUGAGCCACAGACUUAUUGACUCAUCUUUUUCACUAUUUUGUUGUCGUCCUAACAUCAUUCUUCAUCAUACUUCAUUGUUUAUAUCUUUUGUUUCAUUCUUUGUCUUUGUCAUCACAUUUCUUUGUAUGCCAUGAGUGAUAAUAUUUCACAUUUUAGUGCAUGGAAGACGGUCAUGUCUCCUUCCACUCCUAUCUCAUGGGCAUUGGUUUGGAGAUCCUUAAUUGAGAAGGUCAUUUUGUCAAAGAGGGUUCGUACACAUCAUUGUUUGAGAGUAUGUCAAUUUCAUUAUGUAUUCUUAGUGAAGUUCAUUUGUUUGAUAUUUAGAGUAUGUGCAAAAAAAAAAAAAAUGAAAAAAAAGGUAAUGAGCGCAUGUAUUUAUGUAUGUAUACAGUGUCAUUCUCCAUUGAGUGUAGAUAUUGGUCAUUGAUAACUAUUCUAUUGAGUCGACUGCUUAUGAAAGUUCAUAUGUGAGCUUUCAGAGACCCACAUUUUCUUGUGCCUAUCUUGUUAUGUAUUUUACGUGUGAGAGACAAGUGUUCUUUUCCUAGGGACUCCGGAUCAUUGUCUUCUCCAUCAUUACAUACAUUGGUGAUUUGACCGUUCUCCAUGACUUGGUUUGAGUGGAUUAGUACUUAUUCAUUUUCCUUCGAUUUAUUUGUUCCCCUCAUGGUAUUUCAUUGACCUUGCUUACAUUGUUCUUUGUUCAUAUCGAUUUAUAUUCCGUGUUCGAUAUUUUCCACACAUCAUUCUUAUGCAUCCCAUCAACAAUUCGAUAUUCUUCAUUUAUUCUAUUUCAUCAUUGAUACAUUCAUCUUGGAUUCUUUCUUCCUCACUGAUAUAUUCAUAUUGGACGUCCUUAGAUCCAUGGUUUGCCUGACUCUCUACACAUAUUGCAUUUUAUACACGAGGGUAUGAGAUUUUAUCAUUGGGAUUAUUGAGCCUAGUUUCCAUUCAUUUCUUCACCUUAUUACCCUAACCUACGUUACGUCCUGAGUCUUAAGACCACCCUGAGGCCAUGACAUCACACAUUGUGUUUGAUAACUCUUAUGUGGCCGAUACUUGGGAUUGGUUCGAGAGCCCUUUGAUUAUGAUGGUUUAGGAGUUGUGGUAUGAUCUUACACUGGGGCAUCGCCACCUUAGAGAGUUUUUUUAUUGGAUAUGCAUCCAUUCUGCUUGAUACAUCACAUUAGGGCACACCUUUCUUGAUCGAGGGUCCUUUUUUUAGAUGACCAUUAUGUCGAGGCAUACUCCUCUCAAUUGAGGAUGGAUUUUUUAGUCAUGGCCAUCCAUCGGAGGAGAUCAAAUGUCAUUUUUCACAUUGGAGCAUGAGACAUGAUUGGUAUGUUUCAUCUGGUGUACCUUACACAGGGGCAUACCCCUCUUAGUCGAUGAUGGUUUUUGAGGCAUAGCUGUUCCUUGGAGGUGAUUAGAUUCCUUUCACAUUUGAGUAUGAGAUAUGAUUGGGUGAGUUCCUUGAUGUGAUUAUAGGGGCAUAACCUUCUCAUCAUUGUUGACAGAUUUUUGAGAUGAUUGGAUCAUGACACAAACAUUUAUGGUAGCAUGCAACAGAGUUUAGUCAUUUAAGAGAUUGCCCUAUACUGGGGCAUAACCCUCUUAUUAGCAAUUGAUCUUAGACAUACCAACUUACGUCGGGCCAUGAUCAUGUCAAAGUGCAUUUUUGUUGAGGCAUACCACUUUUUUUUUUUUUUAUCUUUUUCACAUUAGGACAUGAUCUUUCUUUAAGUGAGGUCAGAUACUUUUUUCAUGCUACCACGAUGACUUUGAGGAGUGAAGAUUCAUUUUGAUUAGAUUAUGUAUGAUUGGAUGUACUCCUCUCAUCAAUGUUUGCUUUGGAGAUGCUUACACUAGGGCAUAGCCCACUCAUUGGUAAUGGAUUUUGUGAGAUGACAGUUUAUGCCAGACACAUACUUCCUAGAUAUUAUCUUGCACUUAGGGCUUACCCAUUUUAAGAGGAUGCAUUCAUACUGGGACAUAGCCAUCUUGCUGAUUUUGACAUUGAGACUCCACCUCCUGUUUAUGAUUGCUGCUUUUAAUGGAUCAUAGAGUCAUUUACACCUUGGGCUUAGUCUUCUCAACAUACUUAGUUUGACUUGGAUACCCACUUUCUUUUGUUACACACCCAACAUUUUGCCUUUGACGUUGUUACACCCACAUCCAUCAUUUCUGAGCCUAAUAGAUAUUGAGCCUACUUAUCUCACUAUUGACCAUGACCUUAUCCCAUUCUCUUGAUUAGGUGAGGAUGCAGACCAGUCUUGAGUUUUCUAAUUGAGGUUUCACAUGCCUUUGGACAUUGGGUUCAAUAUCUUUCAUGAUGGUAGGGCCUGUUAGAUUGUUGAUAUAUUUGUGAUGAUGGUUUCAUGUUGAUAGUUGACAUGUCGUGUCUUGACUUGCUUACAUUUUAGACUUAGAGUCUUAGUUAGCUUUUCUUUGGUCCUUUGUUUUAGUUUUGCUUUGUCAGCAUAGUUUCAGUAUUGCAUUAGUCUCGUUUAAGCAUUUAUUCUUUGAUGUUAGAUUUUUUCAUUGCAUCAUCGUUGAGCAUAUCCUAGAGUGUUUUGUAGGGUGACAUUCUGUGUCUUAUGUUAGUUACUAUCUUACACUAGGGCAUACCCUCGUCCUUGAGUUCAUCAGAUCUUUCAUAGAUUUUCUCAUUACUCGAUCUAUUUCUUGAUUUUUACCAGUCAUCAUACUGGGGCAUACCUCCUUUAGUGCUUUUCUAUUGGGGCAUACCCCCUCUUUGGGCUUAUCACAUCUCAUGCCGAUUUCAUAGUUGUUAGACCCAUUUGUGAAUUUUUAUUAGUUAUCACCUAGGGCAUCCCCCUACCGUCAGUUUGUUUAGGGCAUCCUCCUACCAUCAAUUUGUUUAAGGCGCUCCUCUUUCUUCAACUUUGUUUAGGGCAUUCCCCUACCGUCAGUUUGUUUAGGGCACUCCCCUUUCUUCAGCUUUGUUUAGGGCAUUCCCCCUACCGUCAGUUUGUUUAGAGCAUCCCCCUACCAUCAAUUUGUAUUGGGCAUCCCCUUACUGUCAGCUUGUUUAGGGCAUUUCCCUUCUUUCAAUUUGUUUAGGGCAUCCCCAUUCUUUCAGUUUGUUAGGGCAUUUCAUUUUUUUCAGUUUGUUUAAGGCGUUCCCUUACCCUCGGUUUGUUUAGGGCAUCCCCCUAUUGUCAUCUUGUUUAGGGCAUCACUCUUUCAUUAGUUUGUUUAGGGAAUCCCCCUACCGUCAGUUUAAUGCUUUGUUUAGGGCAUCCCCCUAUCGUUAGUUUGUUUAGGGCAUCCUUCUACUGUCAAUUUGUUUAGGGCAUUUCCAUUCAUUCAGUCUGUUUAGGGCAUCCCCAUUCUUUUAGUUUUUUUGGGCAUUUCAUUUUCUUCAAUUUGUUUGGGGCGUUCCCCUACCCUCAUAUUUUUUAAGGCAUCCCCCUAUUGUCAUCUUGUUUAGGGCAUCACUCUUUCAUCAGUUUGUUUAGGGCGUUCCCCUACCGUUAGUUUGUUUAGGGCAUCCCCCUACUAUCAGUUUGUUUAGGGCACUCCCCUUUCUUCAGCUUUGUUUAGGGCAUUCCCCCUACCAUCAGUUUGUUUAGGGCAUCCCCCUGCCGUCGGUUUGAUGUUUUGUUUAGGGCAUCCCCCUACUGUCAAUUUGUUUAGGGCAUCCCUCUACUGUCAACUUGUUUAGGGCAUUUCCUUUCUUUCAGUUUGUUUAGGGUAUCUCCCUUCUUUCAGUUUUUUUGGGGCAUUUCAUUUUCUUCAAUUUGUUUAGGGCGUUCCCCUACCCUCAGUUUGUUUAGGGCAUCCCCCUAUUAUCAUCUUGUUUAGGGCAUCACUCUUUCAUCAAUUUGUUUAGAGCAUUCCCCUAUCGUCAGUUUGUUUGGGGUAUCCCCCGUUCCUUUAGUUUGUUUAAGGGCAUCCCCUACCAUCGGUUCUUUUAGGGCAAUUCCCUUUCUUCUAGGUUGUUUAAGGUAAUUCCUUUUUCUUCACUUUGUUUAGGGCAUUCCCCUUCUUUCAGUGAUUCUCACCACCAUAGAUUAGACAUUUAUGGGUCUUUAUCAAUUUUCACCACCAUAGAUCAGACAUCUAUGGGUAUUUUAGAUUCACCAUCAUAUAUUAGAUGUUUAUGAGCAUUUUAGAUUCACCACCAUAGAUUAGAUAUCUAUGGGUCUUUCAAAUUCACCGCCAUAGAUUUUCAUCUAUAGGCCUUAAUCAGUUUUCACCACCAUAGAUCAGACAUCUAUGGGCAUUUCAGUCUCACCAUCAUAGAUUUUCAUCUGUGAGCAUUUGUUUCGGUUAUCUCACCACCAUAGAUUGGAUAUCUAUGGGCAUUUCAAUUUUCACCACCAUAGAUCAGACAUCUACGGGCAUUUCGGUUUCACCACCAUAGAUUUUCAUCUAUGGGCAUUUCAAUUAUUUCACCACCAUAGAUUUUCAUCUAUGAGCUUUGAUCAGUUAUCACCACCAUAAAUCAGACAUCUAUGGGAAUUUCAAUUUUCACUACCAUAGAUCAGACAUCUACGGGCAUUUCGGUUUCACCACCAUAGAUUUUCAUUAAUAGGCAUUUCAAUUAUUUCACCACCAUAGAUCUUCAUCUAUGGGCUUUGAUCAGUUAUCACCACCAUAGAUCAAACAUCUAUGGGCAUUUCAGAUUCACAACCAUAGAUUUUCAUCUGUGGGCCUUGAUCAGUUUUCACCACCGUAGAUCAGACAUCUAUAGGCAUUUUAGUAUCACCACCAUAGAUUAUCAUCUAUGGGCCUUGAUCAAUUUUCACCACCAUAGAUCAAACAUCUAUGGGCUUAAAUCAGCUCUCACCACCAUAGACCAGACAUCUAUGGGCAUUUCAGUUUCACCACCAUAGAUCAAACAUCUAUGGGAAUUUUGGUUUCGCCAUCAUAGAUUGACAUCUAUGGGCAUUUUUGUUGUAUCACCACCGUAGGUCUUCACCUAUGGGCCUUCUAGUUUAACGUUUAGAGUUAGAUUUUUGGUUUGGCUUCCAGAGCCAUUCUUUUCUUAGUUUAGCAUUUAAAGUCAAUCUUGUCUUUCAGAGCCACUGUUCCCGAUAUUCAUGAUCAUUAGCAUUACAUGCUUUGUUCUCACAGUUUCGCAUUCCAUCUUACUUCUCUUUGUUGUAUAUGUGUUUCUCACUUCAUUAUGAUAGUCUAGAGUUUCUUUUCAUCUUUGUGCAGGAUAUAGCUUUAUGAGUUUGUAGCAUGUGUCUUGAUUGUAUCAUUGGUACCCCUUAUGCCUUGUGUCCUUGUAUGGUACACGUAUGGUUUUUCCCAUUGUACUCAUUUCUAUGCUUUUUGGUGAUUCAAUUGUUACUUGACUUUGAUAUCGAUUUUCGAGUCACUUUUAGAGACUCUUCAAAGGUAGUAUGGAUCCAUAGUGUAACUUUAGAGGCACCUUAGGAUUUUCCGUUUUUGCCAUUCGCUUAAGAUUUUAGAGCCCCUUUUGUUCUUUGUUGGUUUGGGCAAGUUUGUGUUCUACUUAUGUACCUUUGGGGGUCUUUUUUUUUUCUUCGGUAGAGUCUACUUCAUUACACUCACUAUUCACACUUCAUUUUCACUCUAGUAUUCAUGUUCCUUACACUCGUGAACUCUACCGAAGAGGGGCAUAUUUGUAGACCUCCUCGGAUGGAAGUUUUUUUAUUUUAUUUUUUUCUUCUUACCACCUCGAGAGUAAGCUAGGCAAUGAGUGGAAGGCUAGAUGAUCUGCAUGCUUAGAUGUGUGGCAGAGGACUUCACCAACUUGCCAUGGUGGUGGUUGAGGUGAUGACAUCUUCUAUGAACAAGGAGCAGUGGAGCCGUUAGAAGCUUGCAAGGGAAGCUGAUAAAAGGAAGGGAAAUGAGAACAAGUGAGGGACAUGUUUUUUUUUUCUAAGAGUUGGAGAGAAAAAGAUGGGAGUAGAAGGCUGCAGGGAGAAGAAGGAGGAUUUCGGGGCAAGAUUGGAGGAACAAAAAGAAAAAUAUAAGUUGAAAAAAUGGAAAGAGAGUUUUCCAGAGAAGGGGGGGGGGGGGGGGGGGGGGGGGGGGGGAAAAAAGGGAAACCCCCCAGGGGGGGAAAAAAAAAAAAAAAGGGGGAAAAAAUGGGGGCAAACCCCCCCCCAUUUUGGGGGGGGGGGGGUUUUUCCCAAAAAAAAAAAACGGGUUUUGGGGUUUUUUUUGGGCCCCCCCCCCCCUUUUUUUUUUUUUUUUUUUUUUUUUGGGAAUUUUUUUCUUUUUUUGGGGAUUUUUUCCCAAAAAAAAAGGGGGGCCCUUCAAAAACCCCUCCCCCCCCUUUAAAAUUUUUUUUUUAAAGCGGAAGGUGGCCCUUUUGUUUUGGGUUUUUUUUUCCCCUUUUCCCUUUCCACCCCCCAAAAGGGUUUUUGGGGGGGGGGGNNNNNNNNNNNNNNNNNNNNNNNNNNNNNNNNNNNNNNNNNNNNNNNNNNNNNNNNNNNNNNNNNNNNNNNNNNNNNNNNNNNNNNNNNNNNNNNNNNNNGGGGGGGGGGGGGGGGGGUAGCAGUAAAAAGGGAAAGCCAGCAAGGAGCAGAGAGAGACAAAGAGAGGGGAAGAAGUUGGGUCAAAGCCCAACCAACUUCGGCUGAAGGAGAGCUUUACCUAGUAAGACUAAUCAGGUUUAUGGAUUAUUAUUGGUCAUCCUACUACCUUUUUUUAUUUUGUUUUAUUUUUAUGUGAUUAUUUUGCAUUGUUUGUGAGUUUGUUCCAGUAUGAUCAUGGUGACUCUUCAUACAUCACUUCCCUACCUUCUAGAUUUGUAUUUUAAUGCUGAAGUUUGUCUUUUUGUUUUUGUUUUUUUUUUCUCUUUUUCCUUUUCUUACUCUUACAAUGGUUUGUUGUGGCAUGGUCUCUUCUAUUGUUCAUAUGGUUCUGUUUGGAUAUGUGCAUAAAUCUGGAUUCAUAUCUCUUGUGUGAUGUUUUAAGAUUAAUCGUUUAUGUUAUGAACCCAUUCUUUUUUAUUCAUCAUUCAUUCCACACCCGCUGUCGGCAUACCAACAAAACUCAUACCACACCACUAGUUCAUCCCACAUCUGUAUGCUUGCCAAUCACUCUUUCCACCCAUUUCUUUUCAUUUCUUCCAUCGCUCACUCCUCGUGAACUCCUACCUAUUUUUAUUUAUUUAUUUAUUUAUUUUUCUCAUGGAUCUGUAACUCGCAUGCAUGCCCACCCAAAGCUUUGAUAAAGCCUCCGUCAAAAUCCUUCUUUUAAUAAAUCCCAAGUUCAAGCCGAAAAACUCCAUACCGGAACCUUAUUGCCAAGCCACCCAUGAAGUAGUGAAAUGGGAGAUAAGCACUCAAGACCAUCGCCAAUGUUGGAUGGAAUCCGCAAACCGACGCCUUCUCCGGAUACUCACCUUUAUGGCUACUCUUGUGGGUCAUGGCGAUGGAGCUUUUGAUGCAACUACUAGCAACGAGGCUCGGAGUAACGAUAGGGAGGUAGCAGUUCGUAAAUGGUGGAAAACCGUUCUCUCCAACAGCUCUAGAUCCAUUAUUCCUGAUCAUGCUCAUUGUUGCCGAUGAAGUAUUCACCUAUGAAAAAUGGAGUUUACCGGAAAAGUUAAGAAGGGGGCUAGUGGAAGGAAAGGUGGUGGUCCCAAGAAGAACUCUGCAUCCCGCUCCAUCAAAACUGGUCUUCAGUUUCCGGUCGGUCGUAUCGGAAGAUGCCUCAAGAAAGGCCGUCAUUCUCAACGCAUUGGAACCGAUGUCCUAGUCUACCUCGUUGUUGUGUUGGAGUGGAUGUUGCUUUCAGAGCUCCAAUUGGAAGUGUAUUGUUUGCAUUGGAAGAGGUGACAUCAUGGUCAACUCAUAUGGCGUGUCUUUUUUUUUUUUUUUUACUUCCGCUGUUGUGGUUGUUGUGGUGCGAACCGCAAUGGGAUGGUUUAAGAGUGGAAAGUGUAGAUAUUUUGGCUCAAGUGACACAUAGUAAUGCUGCAUGGAUUCUUGAUCAAAUAUGAGAAAUUGGCCCAUGAAUAAGACUUUGAGUUUGAUAACCUCCACUCAUUCCACCACCAAACCCAUUCUUUAUUUAUUUAUUUUUUCUUUCUUUCCCUAUUUCCUCCACUUAAAUAUCUUCCAACUCUCUUUCUUGCCCGUGCAACCCACAUUUCCAUUUUAAUUCUUCAUUUUUUCUUUUUAUGUCAAAGUUUAAUUUUCCAAAUUUUCAAUCUCCAAAUUUAAUUUUAAAAUCCCAAUUUUCAAAACUUCAAUUUCUAAAUUUAAUUUAAAAAAAAAAGUCUCCAAUUUCUUCCAAAAUUAAUUUUCAAAACUCCAAUUCCUAAAUUUAAUUUCCAAAAUUCUAAUUCUUAAAUUUAAUUUCCAAAACUCCAAUUCUUAAAUUUAAUUUUCAAAAACUCCAAUUCUCAAAUAAUUUUCAAAAUUACAAUUUCUUUUAAAUUUAAUUUCCAAAACUCCAAUUCUUAAAUUUAAUUUUCAAAUAAUUUUCCAAAAUUCCAAUUUUUAAAUUUAUUUAUUUAUCUAUUUAUUUUAAAAUUCAAUUCUCAAAUAAUUCUUCAAAAUUCCAUUUUCUUAAAUUUAAUUUUCAGACUUCCAUUUUUAAAUAAUUUUUUUCGAAAUUCCGAUUCUCAAAUUUAAUUUUUAAAACUUCCAUCUUUAAAUAAUUCUUUAAAUUUCUGAUUUCCAAAUUUAAUUUCCAAUUUUCAAAAUUCCAAUUUUCACAUUUAUUUAUUUAAUCAUUAUUAUUUUCGUUAUGAUUAUUAUUUUACUUAUUUAUUUAUCUAUUUAUUUUUAAAAUUCCAUCUUUAAAUAAUUCUUCAAAAUUCCGAUUUCCAAAUUUAAUUCCCAAUUUUCGAAAUUCCAAUUUUCCAAUUUUCACAUUUAUUUCUUCUUCUUCUUCUUCUUCUUCUUAUUCUUAUUAUUAUUAUUAUUAUUAUUAUUAUUAUUAUUAUUAUUAUUAUUAUUAUUAUUAUUAUAUUUAUUUUUAAAUAUUCCAUCUUCAAAUAAUUUCCAAGUUUCCAAUUUUCAUAGUUCUAAUUCUCAAAUAAUUUUCAAAAUUCUAAUUUCUUUCAAAUUUAAUUUCCAAAAUUCUAAUUCUUAAAUUUAAUUUUCAAAACUCCAAUUCUCAAAUAAUUUACUAAUUUCUUUCAAAUUUAAUUUCCAAAGUUCCAAUUCCUUAAUUUAAUUUUCAAAACUCUAAUUCUCAAAUAAUUUUAGAAAUUCCAAUUUCUUUCAAAUUUAAUUUCCAAAAUUCCAAUUCUUAAAUUUAAUUCCCAGGACUCCAAUUUUCAAAUAAUUUUUUAGACUCCAAUUUUCAAAUAAAUUUCAAAAAUCUAGUUUUCUCUUUGAAUUUUAAUUCCAUUCCGGUUUUCAAAUAAUCUUCUAUUUCUCUUGAUUUUACAUAAGCAAAAAUGAAUUUUUCAUAAUUCCAAAAUAAUAGAAUUUGUGAGACUUAUUCAUGAAAGAUAAAUUGGGUUUUGGUGGGGGCCUUAAAUAUAAGAUUUCGCUUCUGAUUGUUAAUUGUUAUGCCUAAUGAAUAUUGUUUGAUUUUUGUUCUAAUCUUUGACAUGCAUGCAAUAAUUUCAUACUUGAGUUAACAUUGUUUCCAUGAUAGCGCAUUAUUAUUUGUUGCUAAGGUACGAUCUCACCCACACUUUGCUCAUUCUGAUGCAUGAUUCGCUUUAUUAUUUGAUUAUUUCUUUUUUGUAUCCACUGAUUUCCUUACUAAUUGUCAUGUUUGCUUCAUCUCAUUAGUAGAGACCCGUUUUUAAGAACUUAGAGAGGUGUUAUGGUCUUUAUCGUACGUUCUCAAUAAGUAACCUGACCCUUAAGCCUAGAUUUGGUUUUUCACAGACCUGUUUUUUCCUUUAGUAGUCACACUUAGGGUUUUUCUUUCUUAUUUUGUUUUUCCCUUAAAAAAUAAAACAAAAAUAAGUGGCGACUCCAAGUAUUUUUUUUUUUCAAAAAAUCAAUUUUUUCACCAAAUAAAUGAAAAAAAAGUCUCGUCAUUUGAUUGGGAACGCACGUGAAAAACACGGGUCCACAAUCACAUAUCUCUAUCCUUUAAAACUAAUAACCUAGGUCUCAUUAAUUAUUAUCCUUUUAAGCUAGCUUAUGGAAAAUUAUUUUGGAAACAUGGAAUCUGAAAAUGCUCCAUUGAAUUGACUCUUCAAUAUAUUUAAUAGUGUGUUAUAUGUAAUUUUUUUUCAUAAUUAAGUACAUUUUUCUGUUUAAAGGGUGUUUGGUAAAAAUACUUAUUACUUAAUGACUUAAAUUGACUUUAAGUUAAAUUAUACUUAAGUUGUUAAUAUAAAAUUUAUUACUUAAUUCUUAGUUUAAGUAUUAAGAUUGUUUGAUAAAAUUAACUUAAAACAUAUUUUAAAUAAUAAAAUUGACAUAUUUAUUCUUAUAAAUUAUAAUUAGGGCAAAGGAAGUUGAUCAAUAAUGAAGGUCGUGAAGUAGCAAAAAAGAUCAUGAAAGUGCAAAGAAGAUCGUGGAGGUAAUUAGGGUAAUAAGGGCAAAAAGGUAAAAUGAAGAUGUGUACUUAAAAAUAAAUUAAUUGUUUUUACUUAUUAAUUAAAUUUAUUUUUGACUUUAAGUCAUACUAUUAAUUUAUUUUAUCAAAUAUACUUAAUUUACUUAAUAACUUAAAUAAGUUAUUAAGUCACUUUAAGUUAUUAAGUUGGUUUACCAAACACUUAGUUUUGUGAGAGAAGCAACUUGUGGAGUACUUCAUUUGUAGGAUUGAAGAGAAACAUUGUCGAAUACUCUUAAUUUCCUAAUUAGAACAGGUUUUGUUUAUCAACAACACUAACAUUGACAACUUUAAUGAUGGAUUAUCGAUAAAAUUUAACUAGACAAGGGUCGUAGGUGAUUCGAUUCUUGAUGUCAUAUCCACGGUACUUAGAUAUUCACCUUAAAAUAUAAAUCUUAUUAAAAUAAAAUUUAACUAGACAAGAGUCGUAGAUAACUAAUAUACCCAAAAUUUCGUUCACAUUCUUCUCUUCCACACUACACCUUUUUCUUUCUUCCCUCACUUUUCUUCUUCUUAACAAACACUAAGACAAAAUAUUCUUAUCCCAAACUUGUUUGUCAAUAAAAAAAAUAUUUGAGCUUGCUUCAAAGCUAAUUCCAACAUUUUUUUUAAUGUAUUUUUUGAAUUCAUAUACUAAUAUUAUAAUUUAGGGUUUAUUAUUUAUGUAAUUUUUGACAAAUAUUUGUUAUAAAAAUAACCUAAAAAUUAUUUAGAAAUAAUUUAGAAAUGAUUUAAAAGUGAAAACAUUUUAAAUAUAUAAGAAAUUUGAAGAAAAAAAUAUUACAAUUGUUUGAACACCAAGAGGGCAUCCAAAGGAAUAUAUCACAAGUUUAGAUUUUUUUUUUCAAAAAGCAGACACCAUCAUUCAACUUCCUUAUGCCUGUCUUUCUCUCUUUCCUUAAGCAUUAUUCCUUCACCAAUCGAGGAAAUACACUCUUAAAAGUGUCUAGAGGUGUUAUGUUGGAUGCUCCUAAGGGUAUUUAAAGGUAUAGUAUUGGAUAUCCCCAAGGUAAUGGAGGUAUAGCGUUAGAUGCUUUAAGAAUUGUUCAACCCUACAACUCUAAACACUUUUCUUGAUCAUUUCUUUUCUAAACCUCUAAAUUUUUUUUUUAAAAAAAAGGGUGUGAAAAAAUGUUAAAAAUAGUAUAAAUGCACUUCUAAAAAUAGUGUAAUGAAUCUUUUACCCUCUUUGCAUAGCUUUAAAGAUGUUGGUCUUGAGGCUUUAUAGCUAAUUGAUCUAGAGCUGGGGUGUUCCUAAGGGUACCCUACUGAUUACACAUCUACAACCAUAGUUUCCUUGGAUUUUAUGAAGCAAUAAAAUAUAUAGAGUACGGUGAAUUUUAUUAAGAAAGUUGUUUUUUACAUCUACUUUUUCGUGAUACAAGGGAUAAUUGGUUUAUGGAAUGCUAGAGGUGGCAAUUCAUGUUGAUGGGUCGUAUUUGUGUCAUGUUAAAGCCAAAAUAUUCUUCUACUAACUUAACCUAAAUCCGAUAUGAAUGAUAAUCAUUUUAAAAAUAUAAACUCAAAUAUUACUUAAUUAUUAAACAAAUAACACGUCAUGUAAUUCAUUAAUAAUCAUGUCUUCCUAUUUAAUAAUCGAGUUAACUUAAAUCUUAUAUAUAAUUAAUAUCUUAACCAAAUAUGUUUAUAACUUAAUUGACAUUUUUAUUUAAAAGCAAAUUUAAAAUAAGUCAAAGAGUUAAUUUGUUUAAAAAUAUAAUUAGAUUAAUAACAAAAUUAUUAAACAUGUCAAUUUGGAUCAAAUUCUUAUUAUACAGAUUGAUAAAAAAAUUACCUAUUUAUUAAACAGAUUAUAAAAAUCGACACAAAUUUGACUUAAACACAUUUAUAUUUAACCCAAAUUCACGAAAAACGUUUUAGAUUUGUAUCAUGUUGACGAAUCGUCUCAAACUUUACCAUUAUAGAAUGCAUGUAAUGUCUUGCAAUGCCAAAGGACAAGUUUUUAAUGCUUAAAAAUGAUGAAGUCUUCUGUAUGUACAAACAUGUAACUAAAACAUACAUCUAUAUAGUAUAACAUAUGAUAAGAUGACAUCAAAGUCGAUUUCUAACUCAAAGGUGUGUAAUUUGACAUCUUGUUAGCCAUGGGACAAUGAUGCUCUAUUUUUAGGCACUUGUAAAAAUGACUCCUUUGCUAUCAUGAAUGCAACUGCUCUAAUGCAUCAUCAUGACAUCUCAGUGUCUGCAUUCAAUAUGUUUUACUCUCUUAUCUAAUUUUUCCUUAUUUAUCAUUUUUAUUCAAUACUCAUAUUAAAAAAAUAUGAUUAAAUAGUUAAUAAUUGUUCUCAUAGUAAGUGUGUAUUUGACAAAUCAAUUUAAUAAUUUAAAGUAAUUUAAUAAUUUAAUUUGAGUUAUUAAAUAAAUUAAAUAUAUGUGAUAAAAUAACUUAAUGAUGUAACUUAAACUUCAAGUAAAAAACAAUUUUAAGUAAUAAGUAAAACUAAUUAACUUAUUAUUAAAUUCAUAUCUUUAUUUUAUUUUUUUACCCUUAUUUAUCUUAAUUACUUCCACAAUCUCUGUUACGAUAUUUUACGACAUUUACUCGAUCUCCUUUGUCCUACUUAUAAUUUAUAAGAAUUAAUAUAUUAAUUUGAUGAUUUAAAAUAAAUUUUAAGUUAAUUUUAUCAAAUAACUUUAAUAUUUAAAGUAAAAAUUAAAUAAUAAGUUUUAAAUAAAAAGCUUAAAUAUAAUUUAACUUAAAAAAUCAAUUUAAAUAAGUAUUAAGUUUUACAAAACACCUUCUAAAAUUCCUAUUUGUACGAAAAAUAUCUUAAUUAUUAAUUGACAAAUACAAAUCAAGUGCUCAAAGUUUAAACGAAUUUUAAUUAUCAGUAUGAAAGGAUGAUUGAUAUUAAUUUAAAUAAUUUAAGUCCUAGUUAAUUGUACUGGAAAAUGUGAUAUGAACAUCUGCUUGUCUUCACCAUUAAGGAUGGUGGAUUAAUUUAGAGAACCACAAAAUUCAGGAACAAUGGUUUCAGAGUAACACCACAUUCCACAUUCCACAUUCAACAUUCAACAUUCGACCAACCUGGAUAACUAGUGACAGAAAAAUUCACUCUCAAGAAGAAGUGAAUUAGAAAGAAAACAGAUGGGCAGUCCUGAUCUGAUGUUCUCCCUGUAUAUAAGCUUUGAAAAAACUAUACUUCUAUAUCAAAAAUUUGCAUUUUUUCAGCCUAUUAGGGGAAAAUCAAUACAUGCAAACACAGCGGGAUUGCAGUAACCCAUUACAUCCAUUAUCGGGUUCAAGAUCAACUCUGAUAAUAUUUGUAAUAACUCGUUCCUUUCUGCGUAGAUAUUGUCUGUUCAAAACUUAAUGGGUCCUUGCGGCUCUAAAAUUCAAGAAGUGUGGGAUAUCACAUUCAAUGACUAGAGGCUGAGCAACAUGGUGAUCAAAGUCCAAACUAUGAGGUUAAGCAAGGUGGUGAACAAAGUGCUAACUAGAAAGAUAGAAACAGGAAAACUUUCCAAAUUCAGAACUCCUAGGAUAGAAAUGGAUUAUGGAUUGCAGCAUCCAAAGCCCUGCUUACAUGUCUACACAUGAAAAUUCUUGAACCUACUACUCUUAAAGCACUGAGAGGUAGGAUUAAGGAUUUUUGUUCUUCCACUUCUUUAUAAGGAAGUUGUAUAUAACAGCUUAGCUAAUACUUCAUGAGAAAACCCUCAAGAGAAAAAUGUUGGUGAACAAUAUCACAUCCAUUAGGAAAAUUAUUCUAACCUUACUAUCAAGUUUUGCCUCAAUUCGCCACUUUAAUUCUGGUGGUCUCCUGACCAACCUGUUUGGGGCCAUCUACACCAGCAUCCAGUUAAGCUAUCAUUUGCCUCUAACAUUCAGCAAAUGGCUCCCAUUUUCAGAGAUCUUCAGCAUGAAUCCCUUCAUCAAUGUCCACUCCAAAAUCUGCCUCAAUCAGUAUUUCUUACAAAAUUGGCUUCCAGUUUGAUCCAAGUUCCAAACAGACCUCAACAAAGAGAUAUAUAUUGAAAUAAUAUAUUAGUAGGAAUUGAAAACCGUAUGCUGAAUUCUGUACUUCCUGAGUGGAUCAAGCCACCAUCAAUCAGAAUUCUACAAUUCCAAAAAUUACAGAGAUCUGAGAUCAGUCCAAAACAGAGACAAGAAAAUUGAUACAGUUCUAGAUUUGCUAGGAAGAAGAGAAGAUCAUUCUAAGAUCAAACGAAAAAGACCCAGAUAAGAAACCCCAUAACUAACCAGAUCCAUCAUCGAUCAGGCGUCAGCGGGCUUGCCACUUCCAUGGCUGAAAAACUGAAUCUUGGUACUUUGAAGGCAAUGCCAUCAGUCUCCUCUGCCUUUUGGGCCUUGAAUUCUCCUUUGCUUUCACCUCAUUCGUUCUUCUUUUUCCUUUGGUUUCUACUUGAUCUUCGCCUUCGUCUUCGUGUUCAUCUUCAUCUUCUUUCUUGAAAACUUGAGCUAUGAUGAGUUUGUUGAAAACGAGAGCUGAUGCUCUUCUUCUCCUUCUCCUCACCACUCUUCUCUGCACAAGCGGAACACCCACCACUGACCCAGCAAGAUGAUGAACUGCCUUCAACAAUAGAUCAAGGCCUUCGCAGCGGAUAAAUGAAUCUGAUGAAGAAAAAGAUGGGGCUGAGGAGAUUGAAUUGGGAGAUUCAGAUGAAGAAAAAGAAUGAGUUGAAGUCGAUGAAUUAUGUGGACUAGAAGAAGAAAAAGAAGCAGAUGAAGAAGAAGCAGAGGUCAUUGAAUGUCCUCUUUUUCUCAUUGGAAUUGUAGAGGAAAAUCGAUCAAAUCAAUCGAAUCGGAUCAGAAAAUGAGCAAUUUGAAUUGGGAUUUGGAGAGAGAUUCAACGAAGAAA
rnacentral:lncRNA from 1 species